rnacentral:tRNA from 1 species
CAAAAUAUAGCCAAAAAUAAAGCAUCUCCUUUGCACUGAGAUGAAACUCGUGCAAUCCGAGCUAUUUUGA